rnacentral:rRNA from 1 species
UCGAGCGAGAUUUUUUCUUGUAGCAAUACAGGGAAAAAUCUAGCGGCGAACGGGUGCUUAACACGUGGGCAACCUGCCGAGAAGUGGGGGAUAGCUCGCCGAAAGGCGAAUUAAUACCGCAUGUGAUCAGAGUGGACAUCCAUUCAAAAUCAAAGUCGGGGCAACCUGACGCUUCUUGAGGGGCCCGCGGCCUAUCAGCUAGUUGGUGAGGUAACGGCCCACCAAGGCUUUGACGGGUAGCUGGUCUGAGAGGACGACCAGCCACACUGGGACUGAGACACGGCCCAGACACCUACGGGUGGCAGCAGUCGAGAAUUUUUCUCAAUGGGGGAAGCCCUGAAGGAGCGACGCCGCGUGGAGGAUGAAGGUCUUCGGAUUGUAAACUCCUGUCAUUGGGGAACAAUGCGUAAAUAUUAACUGUAUUUGCGUUGAUAGUACCCGAAGAGGAAGAGACGGCUAACUCUGUGCCAGCAGCCGCGGUAAUACAGAGGUCUCAAGCGUUGUUCGGAUUCAUUGGGCGUAAAGGGUGCGUAGGCGGCGCGGUAAGUCGGGUGUGAAAUCUCGGAGCUUAACUCCGAAACUGCAUUCGAUACUGCCGUGCUUGAGGACUGGAGAGGAGACUGGAAUUUACGGUGUAGCGGUGAAAUGCGUAGAUAUCGUAAGGAAGACCAGUGGCGAAGGCGGGUCUCUGGACAGUUCCUGACGCUGAGGCACGAAGGCCAGGGGAGCAAACGGGAUUAGAUACCCCGGUAGUCCUGGCAGUAAACGGUGCACGUUUGGUGUGGGAGGAUUCGACCCCUUCUGCGCCGGAGC